UGGAUGAGCCCGCGGCCUAUCAGCUUGUUGGUGGGGUAAUGGCCUACCAAGGCGACGACGGGUAGCCGGCCUGAGAGGGCGACCGGCCACACUGGGACUGAGACACGGCCCAGACUCCUACGGGAGGCAGCAGUGGGGAAUAUUGCACAAUGGGCGCAAGCCUGAUGCAGCGACGCCGCGUGAGGGAUGACGGCCUUCGGGUUGUAAACCUCUUUCAGGCCCGAACGAAGCGCAAGUGACACUACCUCAUGUCCCCUACUCCGGCCUAACCCAACGGA
rnacentral:rRNA from 1 species